UCCCGACUUUCGAUUGCCAUCGAAAAUUAUACAUUUUUCGAUGGUUUCUGAAUAUCUCGGGUAGAGUCGAGCGACGAGUCCUGUACGGACCGGGACUGUUAUCUGCCCAAAGGACAUUCAAAGCGUCCUUAUGGUUGCCGAGAUAUGGCUUUUUUUCAUUUUAAAGGACCUGAAAUUGGACAUCAUAAGGACCAAGGACACGUUCUUGCCCGGCCAACUUAGAAUAUGUGAUAAAAAGGACGAAAAUUCUUCAAGGAGCUGAGUGAAGGAGACUUUUGUCGCUACAGAUAAAAGCGUGUAGAUCGGCCAUAUCCUUGCCGAUCAUGAUGUCCUUUGGCCAACCAUCCUGACGAAUCCUGUGUCAAACGAAUCGUAUGGACAAGGACCUCAAACUGUCCAAAGGACAUCAAAAUCGUCUUUGCCGUUUCAGAGAUAUGGCCAAUUUUCUAAAAAGGACAUUUUUCAAUUAGCCAUAACUCGGCCAAAUCCUUAAGGAUAUCGGAAGGAUAUACCUUGUUGAACUCGUGGAGACCAGGACUAUCGAUUGGCAUUCAAGGAUUUCCAAGAUUCGACAAAAAAUUUCACCAAAAUUUUUCAUAGGGGACUGACAAAUCAAGGACUACAAUGAGCUCUAAGGACCUCCACGACUGAUAAAGCCAAUAUUUCCAGGAUUCGACUAUAAUUAAGCCAGAUAUACCUAUUUUAAGUUUAAAUAAGCUCAAAUUAUAGUUUAUUUAUUAUUUGUAUAAUUUUAAGAAAAGUAAUU